rnacentral:rRNA from 1 species
AUUGAACGCUGGCGGCAUGCCUUACACAUGCAAGUCGAACGGCAGCGGGGGAGAAGCUUGCUUUUCCUGCCGGCGAGUGGCGAACGGGUGAGUAAUACAUCGGAACGUGCCCUGUAGUGGGGGAUAACUAGUCGAAAGAUUAGCUAAUACCGCAUACGACCUGAGGGUGAAAGUGGGGGACCGCAAGGCCUCAUGCUAUAGAAGCGGCCGAUGUCUGAUUAGCUAGUUGGUGGGGUAAAGGCCUACCAAGGCGACGAUCAGUAGCUGGUCUGAGAGGACGAUCAGCCACACUGGGACUGAGACCCGGCCCAGACUCCUACGGGAGGCAGCAGUGGGGAAUUUUGGACAAUGGGCGAAAGCCUGAUCCAGCAAUGCCGCGUGUGUGAAGAAGGCCUUCGGGUUGUAAAGCACUUUUGUCCGGAAAGAAAUGGCUCUGGUUAAUACCUGGGGUCGAUGACGGUACCGGAAGAAUAAGGACCGGCUAACUACGUGCCAGCCGCCGCCGUAACAC